rnacentral:lncRNA from 1 species
GGGAGGAGGAGGGGAGGAGGAGGACGAGGACCAGGAGGACAAGGAGGAGCAGCAGGAGGAAGAGGAGGAGCAGCAGGAGGAAGGAGGAGGAGGAAAGGGAGGAGAGGAAGGAGAAGAAGAAGAGGAAGAGAAGAAGGAUGAGGAGGAGAGAGAGGAGAGGAAGAGAAGGAGGAAGAGGAAGAGGAGGAGGGGAUGGGGAGAAGUGAGGCUGGGAAUGUGGCUCAGUGGCUCAGUGCCCUUGUUUAAGUUCCUAGAACUUCAAAUGAAUGAAUAAACAGCAUAAACAGAUACGUAAGAACUCCGGGUCCCCAGAGCGAGGACAGGCCUUCUUUGGAAUCAGGUCUUUCUCUCACGAAGUCAUCUGGCCAGAAACAAUGGCUACCCAAAGGCAGGCAGUGGGGGGGUAUUUUCUGGACGGAAGUGGCUGUAGACUGAGCUAUCACUAUAGAAUUCCUUCUUCAAGUAGGAGUCAAGAGACUAUGUACUCAUGGAAACCAAUGGUUAUGUCUUAAGGUCAACGGUUCUGUCGAUUCUAGUGCUCACGAUCAAGUAAGGGUUUAGUCUAGCGAAUCAAAUGAAAGCCAUCCACCCCUCCCCCUUUGAAUACCCUGGUGAUCUAAGCAUAAAAAGGAAAUAGAGAGCACAGAGCACUGUCUUUUAAUAUUUGUGAGGAGCAUAAAUCAUAAUGGUUUGUAUACUACACUAUACAAAUGAUAGACUGUUACUUUCCAAAGAAAACCGACUUCUUUGAGGGUUUCCCAAACAGUUAGUCACUCCAUAGAGCUAAGAGCUUGACCCUUUAGCCGUUGCUACAGCACAUGGAAUACAGGCAGUUAAGUCCCCCCAGUCUUCCAACUGUGCCUGUUUCUGCUGCCGACGAGGGAGGGGCCUCUCGGGGGCCUCUUGCGGCCCCUUCCAUCUCCUGCGCCACCAAAUGUGGGCUCUGCAGGGCAGGCGAGUGCCGACGAGGCAACCUCUGGUCUCGGCUUCCCACAAUCCUCCUCCUCCCCGUUAAGAGAACUUGCGUUUCUUCAUGGCUUCCGCCUUGACCGCCAGGCUCUUGGCACAGAUGGUCAGGACCACGAUGAGAACACCCACCACAAACGCCACCACCGGCCAGAGGAAGCAGUGCAGGAGAGCAAUCUCGUCGUGUGUGCGCUGUAGGAGAACGUCCUCUGGUCUGCAAGAGAGUGGAGGACAGGAAAGGAAGACCAGUGAGUCUCUCAGCCCAGCACAUUCUACACAACCUGCAGACGACAAGUGCUCUCCGGCGUAGGGAAUAAUCACCCUUGAAAGUGAUGACUCUGAUUGCAGACACCGUCCCAGACUGCUCCACACCCAUUUCCAAAAGCCGUGAGCUCUCGAAUCAAUCAUUACUGAGGAUGGCACUGAAUGCCAUUAUCACAAUAAGGAACAACCCAGCCAGUGAAAGAGCUCCUAAGAGGGAGUCUGGAACCACCACACCCCGGAGCACUGGCUGGAGAAAACCCGGGAGGAAACGGGCAGGAGAGAAGGAAGCGACCGGAAACUGUUGGAUCCAAAAGCGUGUUUUCCUCAGAAACUUUCUAGAAUUCCAUCUCCUGGAUCUUGGGCAACACUUAUGUUUCAGAGCUUUAAGUGACAAAAUAAAAUGACUCAUUGGAGCUGAAUUUGAACCACU